UACGGGGGGAGCAAGCGUUGUUCGGAUUUACUGGGCGUAAAGGGCGCGUAGGCGGUCGUGACAAGUCACUUGUGAAAUCUCCGGGCUUAACUCGGAACGGUCAAGUGAUACUGUCGGACUAGAGUACAGAAGGGGCAACUGGAAUUCUCGGUGUAGCGGUGAAAUGCGUAGAUAUCGAGAGGAACACCUGCGGCGAAGGCGGGUUGCUGGGCUGAUACUGACGCUGAGGUGCGAAAGCCAGGGGAGCGAACGGG
rnacentral:rRNA from 1 species